rnacentral:misc_RNA from 1 species
UCAACCCUUAAGCCUAGCUUAGUGUUGGGAGUCUGCUUUAUUGCAGCUCCUCAAAUCCAACGGCGGAUCUAUAAUAUCCUCUGAGCGUAGUAAAUUUUUAUCUCGCUUUUGUCAGGUGUUAUAGCUCUCAGCCGCUAAACCCCCCAAUUUUUGUGGUUGACCUCGGAUCAGGUAGGAAUACCGCUGAACUUAAGCGUGUCAAUAAGCGA